UUGCAAUUAAAAAAUAAAUAAAUUAAAUAUAAAUAAAAAAUUAAAAUUAAAAGAACGCCCCAAAUGCCUUAAAAUCCCACAUUAGAUAUAAAAGAAUCAAAGAAGCUGCCGCAUCAUCUAGACAUCCACAAAUCCAGCGUAUCUCUUUGAGAAGAAUGCAACUAGUUGUCAAGCGUUGACUCCCCAGAUGCACGCCGACGAAAUUGCAACCAGCAGCCGCUGAGCCCGUUAGCCAUACGUUGCCAUGCUACCAGCCGAAGUCACACGCAGACUAAAGUCUCAAACCCAGCCGCUGCAUCCAUUGCAAUUUUGAAUGGAGUCAGAUCCAUAAAGCUUGUGAGGUGCAGAGGUUAUGAUUUUGUUUGGGUCUUUGACUUUGAAAAACUUGCACGGGUUUGGGUUUUUUGAAUUACUUAUGAAUCUGCUUUUGAUUUGCCAGCAUUCUACUUGCUUUUUUUUUUUCAUUUGAUAAUUGUAAAGUUGCCUAUUUGAUUUAGCUUUCUUGCUUUUGGGAUGCAAUUGUUACUGAAGAUCUUAACUAAAUCAUUCAUGUUAAAAUGAAUUUUCUUUCUUUCUUUUUUCCAUUUGUUGGCUUGCUGCAUUUGUUUUUUAUUUGUGUGAUUUUAAUUUUAUACUGC
rnacentral:lncRNA from 1 species